GACGAACGCUGGCGGCGUGCUUAACACAUGCAAGUCGAACGGAAAGGCACUGCUUUUGUGGGGUGCUCGAGUGGCGAACGGGUGAGUAACACGUGAGUAACCUGACCUUGACUUUGGGAUAACUUCAGGAAACUGGGGCUAAUACCGGAUAGCAGCUCCUGCUGCAUGGUGGGGGGUGGAAAGUUUCGGCGGGUGGGGAUGGACUCGCGGCUUAUCAGCUUGUUGGUGGGGGAGUGGCUUACCAAGGCUUUGACGGGUAGCCGGCCUGAGAGGGUGGCCGGCCACAUGGGGACUGCGAUACGGCCCAGACUCCAACGUGAGGCAGCAGUGGGGAAUCUGACACAAUGGGCGGAAGCCUGAUGCAGCAACGCCGCGUGCGGGAUGACGUCCUUUGGGUUGUAAACCGCUUUCGCCUGUGACGAAGCGUGAGUGACGGUAAUGGAUAAAGAAGCACCGGCUAACUACGUG
rnacentral:rRNA from 1 species